rnacentral:rRNA from 1 species
UACGGGGGGGGCAAGCGUUGUUCGGAAUUACUGGGCGUAAAGGGCUCGUAGGCGGCCAACUAAGUCAGACGUGAAAUCCCUCGGCUUAACCGGGGAACUGCAUCUGAUACUGGAGGGCUUGAGUACGGAAGAGGCGAGUGGAAUUCCUGGUGUAGCGGUGAAAUGCGCAGAUAUCAGGAGGAACACCAAUUGCGAAGGCAGCUCGCUGGGACGUUACUGACGCUGAGACGCGAAAGCGUGGGGAGCAAACAGG